rnacentral:rRNA from 1 species
UACGGGGGGGGCAAGCGUUGUUCGGAAUUACUGGGCGUAAAGGGCUCGUAGGUGGCCAACUAAGUCAGACGUGAAAUCCCUCGGCUUAACCGGGGAACUGCGUCUGAUACUGGAUGGCUUGGAUUUGGGAGAGGGAUGCGGAAUUCCAGGUGUAGCGGUGAAAUGCGUAGAUAUCUGGAGGAACACCGGUGGCGAAGGCGGCAUCCUGGACCAACAUUGACGCUGAGGAGCGAAAGCCAGGGGAGCAAACGGG